CCGAUGAUCGUUGCUGCCGUCGAGCAGCGUGGCCGACGGACGUUCCGGCGAACUCUGCACGUCCGAUCAUGCAGUGUCACUAGUCAUGUGGCUCCCUUGCGGCGGUCGGGGAAUUAUCACCCAAGCCUAUGGACGGACAAGACUGUGCAAUACCUCACGAGCACCUCCACAUUGCAAAAAGAAGAGGAACGUGAGAGAAUAAAUGUAUUGAAG